rnacentral:rRNA from 1 species
AACGAACGCUGGCGGCAUGCCUAACACAUGCAAGUCGAACGAGACCUUCGGGUCUAGUGGCGCACGGGUGCGUAACGCGUGGGAACCUGCCCUUAGGUUCGGAAUAACUCCCCGAAAGGGGUGCUAAUACCGGAUAAUGUCUUCGGACCAAAGAUUUAUCGCCUUUGGAUGGGCCCGCGUUGGAUUAGCUAGUUGGUAGGGUAAAAGCCUACCAAGGCGACGAUCCAUAGCUGGUCUGAGAGGAUGAUCAGCCACACUGGGACUGAGACACGGCCCAGACUCCUACGGGAGGCAGCAGUAGGGAAUAUUGGACGAUGGGCGAAGGCCUGAUCCAGCAGUGCCGCGUGAGUGAUGAAGGCCUUAGGGUUGUAAAGCUCUUUUACCCGGGAUGAUAAUGACAGUACCGGGAGAAUAAGCUCCGGCUAACUCCGUG